rnacentral:lncRNA from 1 species
UAGGAAAUGACCGCAGCUUGCCAGGGUGGGAGCCAGACAACACCGCACAAAGGAAGGAGGAGAGAGAAGAUCCUGAGGCCACUCCACCAUACACGAAGCUAGUCCACCCUCCCACUGGGUUGGGAAGAUUCAGAUCUGUACCCUGGAGCCUCAUGCUGAAUCCUGACCUGACUGGAAGUGCAAUCUUCCCACGUGCAUCUACCCUUUCCCAUGGGGGACGAAGAGCCGGAGGAGGACUAAGUUACCUGCUGCAGCAACACCUGAAACUGGAAGGCUUCAGUCACCUCUGAGAACAACCCCGGGCACACAGCCAGUCACUCGGGCAGAGAGCUGUAGAGUAGUUUCCGGAGACAUGCCCAGUUCAUGAACACCUGCUUGACGGUGCCCCGAGCCUGGGUGGCAGAGACACACAACUGCUCAUAAAACAGCUGCUAGAAGCAACACGUGGGUAAGAAGGGCCUCCAAGGCAGGAAGGUGCAGGCCCUGCCCUGAGCCUCUUCCUUUCAGACCCAGUUCCAAGGUUGAGAGCACAGACUGCCCUUCCAGAGGACCAGUGUUGAGUUCUCAGUACCCACUGCUGUUGGCUCACAACUGCCUGUAACUCCACAUCCCC